rnacentral:rRNA from 1 species
GUGGGGAAUAUUGGACAAUGGGCGAAAGCCUGAUCCAGCCAUGCCGCGUGUGUGAAGAAGGUCUUCGGAUUGUAAAGCACUUUAAGUUGGGAGGAAGGGCAGUAAGUUAAUACCUUGCUGUUUUGACGUUACCGACAGAAUAAGCACCGGCUAACUUCGUGCCAGCAGCCGCGGUAAUACGAAGGGUGCAAGCGUUAAUCGGAAUAACUGGGCGUAAAGCGCGCGUAGGUGGUUUUGUAAGUUGGAGGUGAAAUCCCCGGGCUCAACCUGGGAACUGCCUCCAAAACUGCAUGACUAGAGUACGGUAGAGGGUAGUGGAAUUUCCUGUGUAGCGGUGAAAUGCGUAGAUAUAGGAAGGAACACCAGUGGCGAAGGCGACUACCUGGACUGAUACUGACACUGAGGUGCGAAAGCGUGGGGAGCAAACAGGAUUAGAUACCCGAGUAGUCC